rnacentral:rRNA from 1 species
CCUACGGGAGGCAGCAGUGGGGAAUAUUGGACAAUGGGCGAAAGCCUGAUCCAGCAAUGCCGCGUGAGUGAUGAAGGCCUUCGGGUCGUAAAGCUCUUUUACCAGGGAUGAUAAUGACAGCACCUGGAGAAUAAGCUCCGGCUAACUCCGUGCCAGCAGCCGCGGUAAUACGGAGGGAGCUAGCGUUGUUCGGAAUUACUGGGCGUAAAGAGUACGUAGGCGGUUAUUCAAGUCAGAGGUGAAAGCCCGGGGCUCAACCCCGGAACUGCCUUUGAAACUAGAUAGCUAGAGUCUUGGAGAGGUUAGUGGAAUUCCGAGUGUAGAGGUGAAAUCCGUAGAUAUUCGGAAGAACACCAGUGGCGAAGGCGACUAACUGGACAAGUACUGACGCUGAGGUACGAAAGCGUGGGGAGCAAACAGGAUUAGAUACCCUGGUAGUCCACGCCGUAAACGAUGAUAACUAGUUGUUCGGUCACUUGGUGACUGAGUGACGCAGCUAACGCAUUAAGUUAUCCGCCUGGGGAUACGGUCGCAAGNUUAAAACCUUAAAGGAAUUGACGGCUGAGACGUUGCGAGACGACGACGAGGAGAGG